rnacentral:piRNA from 1 species
UAGCUAAUCAAGGGUACUAGGUGUCUA